UUCGCAAUGCCCGAAAGGGUGACGAAGCGACGCCGCGUGCGGGAAGAAGGCCUUCGGGUUGUAAACCGCUGUCAGGAGUUAGGAAAUGCAAGGACGUUAAUAGCAUCUUUGCUUGACUAAGGCUCCGGAGGAAGCCACGGCUAACUCGGUGCCAGCAGCCGCGGUAAUACAGAGGCGGCAAGCGUUGUUCGGAAUUAUUGGGCGUAAAGAGCACGUAGGCGGCCGUGUAAGUCGGUUGUGAAAGCCUUCCGCUCAACGGGAGAACGGCAUCCGAUACUGCAUGGCUAGAGUGCGGGAGGGGAGAGUGGAACUUCUGGUGGAGCGGUGAAAUGCGUAGAUAUCAGAAGGAACGUCGGCGGCGAAAGCGACUCUCUGGCCUAUUACUGACACUAAGUGUGCGAAAGUUAGGGGAGCAAACGGGAUUAGAUACCCCGGUAGUCCUAACUGUAAGCGAUGGGCACUAAGUAGAGGGGUUUU
rnacentral:rRNA from 1 species